rnacentral:rRNA from 1 species
CCUGCAGUGAUUUGUCUGGUUAAUUCCGUUAACGAACGAGACGUUCACCUGCUAAAUACUUACAUGUAACCUCGGUUACAUGGGCAACUUCUUAAAGGAACUUUACGUGUCUAACGUAAGGAUGUUGGAAGCAAUAACA